GUGUGUGUGUGUGUGUGUGUGUGUGUGUGUGUGUGUGUCUUUUUCCGGAUGGAUCUCUCUCACACACACACAUACACACA
rnacentral:miRNA from 1 species